UCUCCGUUGGUGAACCAGCGGAGGGAUCAUUAUAGAGUUUUCUAAACUCCCAACCCUUUGUGAACUUACCUUUGUUGCCUCGGCGGGUUCUGCCUCCCAUCUCGGGAGCAGGCUCAAGCCCGCCGGUGGCCCAACUAAACUCUUGUAUUAUUUGUUAUCUGAGAGUUAUUUUUAAAAUAAGUCAAAACUUUCAACAACGGAUCUCUUGGUUCUGGCAUCGAUGAAGAACGCAGC
rnacentral:misc_RNA from 1 species